CAAGGAGAGAGGAGGCCGAGGCCCCCCGCGCCGGCGGCCGCAAGGGAAGGAAGGAGACGCUCUCACCGGCGAGGGUUUAGCGCCGCUUUUCUCAGGGUUUCUCGGCGGGCGGCGGCGCGCCAGCUUCCGUCGACCACGAGGCUAAAACCCUAAUCCCGGCGAUGAGGCGGCUGCCCAAAUCGCUCCUGCUCGCCUCCCUCUCCAAGCCCUUCCUCCGCCGCAACCGGGAACCCCUCCCGCUCCUCCGGCCGCCGCCGCGUCCCCUCCCGCGCGUGCUCCCCUUCGCCGCACGAACCCUAGCCGCGCCGGCCGCUCCUCCUCCCGAGGCGGCGCCGGCUGCUCAAUCCGAUGGGUUCGCGCUCCUGGAGGCCGCCCAGCUCCGGGAGGCCGCGGACGACCACCAGGAGGCCCUCGCCCUCGCCAUCAAGGCGCUCGAGCCGCUGCAGGCGUCGCACGGCGGCUGGUCGCUCCCCGUCGCGCGCACCCUCCGCCUCGCCGGCGCCGCCGCGUCCCGCCUCGGCCGCCUCACCGAUAGCCUCGACUCCCUCAACGCCGCGGCGGAUAUCAUUGAUUCCCUGGAGGCCGGGGACGCGGAGGUGGCCGCGGUUGGCGCCGCUGUCCACGAGCAGCUCGCGCGCACAAAGACGGCCAUGGGGCGCCGGUGGGACGCGGCGUCUGACCUCAUGCGCGCCAUGGAGCUGAAGGCCGUGUUCCUGGAGAAAGGGAGUUUGGAGUUGGGAAAUGCUUACAAGGAUGUCGCCGAGGCCUACAGAGGCGUACUGGCCUGUGACAAAGCGUUGCCACUGUGCCUUGAGGCGUUGGAGAUUGCCCGUAAUCAUUUCGGAGGAGAUUCCCAAGAGGUGGCUAAGGUCCGGCAGCUUCUCGCGACCAUCUAUGCUGGAUCAGGUCGAAAUGAGGAGGCACUGGAGCAGUAUGAAAUCGUUCGGAUGGUGUAUGAGAGGCUGGGGUUGGAUGUGGAGCUUUCUCUGGCUGAAACUGAUGUGGCCAUGGUGCUGGUUUUGUUGGGGAGAUCUGAGGAGGCAAUGGAUGUUCUUAAAAGGGUGAUCAAUCGGGCUGGCAAAGAGAGUGAGGAGCGUGCACUAGCAUUCGUUGCAAUGGCAAAUAUUUUGUGCAUCCAGGACAGAAAGGCCGACUCAAAGCGGUGCUUAGAGAUUGCUCGUGAGAUUCUUGACACGAAGAUUUCUGUGAGUCCCUUACAGGUUGCGCAGGUGUAUGCAGAGAUGUCGAUGUUGUAUGAGACAAUGAUAGAAUUUGAGGUGGCGCUGUGUUUGAUGAAGAAAACACUUGUGUUUCUCGACGGCGUAUCUGAGAUGCAGCACAUUCAGGGGAGCAUAUCAGCUAGAAUGGGGUGGCUUCUUCUGAAGACCGAAAGAGUAGAUGAGGCUGUUCCAUAUCUGCAGAGCGCAAUUGAAAAAUUGAAGAACUGCUUUGGACCAUUGCACUUUGGAUUAGGGUUUGCUUAUAAGCAUUUGGGAGAUGCUUAUCUUGCCAUGAACCAAUCAGAGUCAGCUAUAAAGUACUUUACUAUUGCGAAGGACAUUAUUAAUGCUACAUAUGGGCCAAAACAUGAGGAUACUAUCGACACCAUCCAGUCCAUUGCAAAUGCAUAUGGGGUGAUGGGAAGCUACAAGCAGGCAAUGGAUUACCAAGAACAAGUUAUAGAUGCUUAUGAAAGCUGUGGCCCUGGUGCUUUCGAGGAACUCAGGGAAGCUCAAAGGCUUCGGUAUCAGCUAAAAAUAAAAGCCCGAGGUUUACCUCAUGCAUGCUUCCCUGCCAACUCAUUGCCAACUAAAUUCCAAGACCGAGAAUAGUUCUUCUCUCAUCAACGUCCACCACCUAGAUGAUUCAAUGGUUGGAAGCAUCAAUUAGAUAAUCUUCACUGAGGUGGGACCAUCGACAAUUUUAUACGUGUCCUGCACUACAUUGGGUCACUGGCUCAUUCCUUGGUUAUGAUUACCAGUAAUUCAGUUACCUCGGUGGCAAUGCUCUCUUCUUAAUGGCAAUGCAAAAUGAGUGCAUAAACCUUACAGUGGUGGUACUGGAUAUAUGCAUUUGCCAAGUUGGAAAAUUUUAAUGAGUCCAGAAAAUGGUGGGACUGACCAUAGGACCGACUGAUUGAGAGCAAUAUUGGCAUUGUUCGGCACUCAAAUAAUUAAGGAACGAUAGAAGACUGUUUAGUUGCUGGCAGACAGAAGGUAUUCAGAAGUGUGCGCAAUCGGCUGAGGACCUCCAUGGCAAGUUCUGCUCAUGAGCUCAGCAGUUUUGCAGGCUUAGUCAUGCAUGGGCGUCCUGAGCCUCCUCCAUAUGCAUCAGAGAUGGUUGCGGUGAUAUUCAAUGGCGACUGCUGCUGCGGCUCUGGUUGACCACUCAGUAACAUCAGACAUCCCCAGAGAUCACUGCAUCAGUGGUGGUCUCUAACUUCCAGUACUCCUACGAUGGUGCAAGCAUCUCAAUCCAUUCACUGCCUCUAUCAUGUUGUUACCCCAACAGUUGCAUUUGCUCAGGACCAGCAGAAUUACGCUCUUUUUUUCUUCUGUCUCUCAUACAUCAAUUGGCAUUUAUUGCGAGAUUGGGCAUGAUUGCGAUGUACUUCUAUCAGUUGGUGAUGGACAGCGAGGGCUCAAUGUGAGCUUCGCUUAACAUGCUUGCUGCCAUGCUUGUGCCGUUAGGGAGCAUGUGGAUAUCACCGUCCAACUCCCAGUGGGAAGAAAGCAAAGCAAUCGCGAGGGCAACCUUGGAAGCAGAAGCAGAACACCUACAGUGUCAGUGAGCAAUGUCCCAGCUUCAUUGGAUCAAGUCUCGUGAGUUCUGCUCAGCUGCACUUUUAUGGCCUUGGGGUAAGAGAUUUGUUUCUGACACUCCUACUGACGAGUUGUUCUCUUUCCAUGGUCACAUACAGUUCUCGUUGUCAGUUACUUCAAGUCCUUGUGAAUUAGUGUCGUGUCCAUUUGCUGCUGCAUCUCGUGGCUAUUUGCUGCUGUUUGGACUUAAGAGUAACGCAAAUGGUCCCCUUGCCUUGUUUCUCUGCCUGUGCCCACCAGCACCAACAGACACCAAGAAAAGAAAAUCUUACAUUCGUGUCAUUUUAUAUUUUCAACCAAAUCCAUUAGGCCAUUUCAGUUUAUUUUAGGUUAACGGACCUCUUGCCACUCAAGAAUGGUGACCUACAAAUUGAUCUCA